GACGAACGCUGGCGGCGUGCCUAAUACAUGCAAGUCGAACGAGAGCGACCGGUGCUUGCACUGGUCAAUCUAGUGGCGAACGGGUGAGUAACACGUGGGUAACCUGCCCAUCAGAGGGGGAUAACAUCCGGAAACGGAUGCUAAAACCGCAUAGGUCUUCGAACCGCAUGGUUUGAAGAGGAAAAGAGGCGCAAGCUUCUGCUGAUGGAUGGACCCGCGUUGCAUUAGCUAGUUGGUGAGGUAACGGCUCACCAAGGCCGUGAUGCAUAGCCGACCUGAGAGGGUGAUCGGCCACAUUGGGACUGAGACACGGCCCAAACUCCUACGGGAGGCAGCAGUAGGGAAUCUUCCGCAAUGGACGCAAGUCUGACGGAGCAACGCCGCGUGAGUGAAGAAGGUUUUCGGAUCGUAAAACUCUGUUGUUAGAGAAGAACAAGUGCUAGAGUAACUGUUAGCGCCUUGACGGUAUCUAACCAGAAAGCCACGGCUAACUACGUG
rnacentral:rRNA from 1 species